GACGAACGCUGGCGGCGUGCUUAACACAUGCAAGUCGAACGAUGAAGCCGGAGCUUGCUCUGGUGAAUUAGUGGCGAACGGGUGAGUAACACGUGAGUAACCUGCCCUUGACUCUGGGAUAACUGCGGGAAACUGUAGCUAAUACCGGAUACGACCCUCGGAGGCAUCUCCUGGGGGUGGAAAGAAUUUCGGUCAAGGAUGGACUCGCGGCCUAUCAGCUAGUUGGUGAGGUAAAGGCUCACCAAGGCGACGACGGGUAGCCGGCCGGAGAGGGUGACCGGCCACACUGGGACUGAGACACGGCCCAGACUCCUACGGGAGGCAGGAGUGGGGAAUAGUGCACAAUGGGGGCAAGCCUGAUGCAGCAACGCCGCGUGAGGGAUGACGGCCUUCGGGUUGUAAACCUCUUUUAGCAGGGAAGAAGCGAAAGUGACGGUGCCUGCAGAAAAAGCACCGGCUAACUACGUGCCAGCCGCCGCAGUAA
rnacentral:rRNA from 1 species